AGGUAUCAAUGGAUAUGGACGUGGCAAUAGACGAAAUUAUAAUCGUCAUCAUUGUGAUAAUGAAAAUAAUAAGGAUUCUCAAAAUAAUCCUUCACUCUGUGAAAAUAAUAUUUGUCAUAAAUUUGACAAUAUGAGAUUUUAUAAAACACAUAUAGAUAAUUAUGGUCCAUUCAAGAUGUGAGUGUGAUAACAUCUAAUUUAUGAAUACAUAUUCAUUCUUGGAAGAAUAUAAAUGUGCUAGUGGUAGUGAAUAUACCACAUCACCUCUAGAAGGAGGUUUGAGAUGAUAUAUGAAAAUAAUGCCAUUAUUAUGGCAUGAAUGAUCAUUGGUCACGUACCUAUUGUACGCCAAAAUAUUUUGGAAAUAUGAUUAUUGAAGGACAGCGAUAAUACAAGAAACAUAUCUUGCAU
rnacentral:lncRNA from 1 species